CAGAGGGUGCGAGCGUUGUUCGGAAUUACUGGGCGUAAAGCGCGCGCAGGCGGUCCUUUAAGUCUACCCGUGAAAUGCCGGAGCUCAACUCCGUGCACGCCGGGGGAUACUGGAGGACUGGAGACGAGUAGAGGCAAGCGGAAUUCCGGGUGUAGCGGUGGAAUGCGUUGAUAUCCGGAAGAACACCGGAGGCGAAGGCGGCUUGCUGGGCUUGGUCUGACGCUGAGGCGCGAAAGCGUGGGGAGCGAACAGGAUUAGAUACCCUGGUAGUCCACGCCGUAAACGAUGGGCACUAGACGCGGGUGGGAUCGACCCCUUCCGUGUCGCAGCUAACGCGCUAAGUGCCCCGCCUGGGGAGUACGGCCGCAAGGCUG
rnacentral:rRNA from 1 species